rnacentral:rRNA from 1 species
UGUAAGCGUAUACCAAAGUUGUUGCAGUUAAAACGCUCGUAGUCGGAAUUUGGCAGUUCCGGAUGUGUGCACGUCGUGUGCGCACUUCGCGGGGAUUGCUUUUGUGGUCUUGCGUAGGAUGAGGCACUUUUAUUAGUGAACGUCCUCACGCAACCACUUUUUACUGUGAGAAAAUCAGAGUGCUCAAAGCAGGCAUUUGCCGUGAAUGUAUUAGCAUGGAAUAAUAGAAUAGGACUUGGUUCUAUUUUGUUGGUUUGUUGGGACUGAGUAAUGAUUAAGAGGGACAGUUGGGGGCAUUUGUAUUUCGGUGCUAGAGGUGAAAUUCUUAGAUUACCGAAAGACAAACUGCUGCGAAAGCGUCUGACAAGGAUGUUUUCAUUGA